rnacentral:misc_RNA from 1 species
GCUCGGUUGUGGGUGUAGUUUGGCAGCCUUUUAUACAGCCUGGAGUACUGGGUUGGGGUUGUUCUGGUGUGGAAGAUUUAUCAAGAUUGGUGUAGUGUGGGGCAUGCUUUUGGGGUUCCCGGAUCGCCACGGUGAUUCGUGCCCUUCUAACCGAGAUUAGAAGUUUGAAUGCUUUUGGUUGGGGUUGGUUGUGGUGUAGUGGUUUGAGAACUGGAUAGUGGACGCGAGCACAAGACAAUAAUUUGUUUUGUGUUGUAAUUGAAUCGAACUCUGUUUUAGAGUUGUGGUUCGAUCGUUUUGUGAUCAUUUUAGUGUGAUGAUUUGUUGUCUAGGAAUUGUAUUCGAUUAGGGCUUAUGAGUGUAUUGCUUGUAAGGGCUUAGGGUGGAUGCCUUGGCACCAGA